rnacentral:rRNA from 1 species
AAUGAACGUUGGCGGCGUGGAUUAGGCAUGCAAGUCGAGCGCGAACCCCGCAAGGGGGGAGAGCGGCAAACGGGGUAGUAACGGGUAGGUGACGUACCCUCGGGUUGGGGAUAGCCACGGGAAACUGUGGGUAAUACCCAAUAAUCUCCUGGAGCUUGAAGGCUUCGGGAGCAAAGGUGUGAUUCCACCGGAGGAGCGGCCUGCUUCGUAUUAGCUAGUUGGUGAGGUAACGGCUCACCAAGGCUUCGAUGCGUAGGGGGUGUGAGAGCAUGACCCCCACCACUGGGACUGAGAUACUGCCCAGACACCUACGGGUGGCUGCAGUCGAGAAUCUUCGGCAAUGGGCGCAAGCCUGACCGAGCGACGCCGCGUGUGGGAUGAAGGCCCUUGGGUUGUAAACCACUGUCAGAGGGGAUGAAGUGCCAGAGAGCAAUCUCUCUGGUUUGACAUAGCCUCAGAGGAAGCACGGGCUAAGUUCGUGCCAGCCGCCGCUGUAAGAC